rnacentral:tRNA from 1 species
GGGCCCGUAGCUCAGCUUGGAAUAGAGCGGCCGGCUUCGGACCGGCAGGUCGCGGGUUCAAAUCCCGUCGGGCCCACCA